rnacentral:rRNA from 1 species
AAUGAACGCUGGCGGCAGGCCUAACACAUGCAAGUCGAGCGAGCAUUUCGGUGCUAGCGGCGGACGGGUGAGUAACGCGUGGGAACGUGCCCUUUUCUGCGGAAUAGUCCUGGGAAACUGGGGGUAAUACCGCAUACGCCCUUUUGGGGAAAGAUUUAUCGGAGAAGGAUCGGCCCGCGUUGGAUUAGGUAGUUGGUGGGGUAAUGGCCCACCAAGCCGACGAUCCAUAGCUGGUUUGAGAGGAUGAUCAGCCACACUGGGACUGAGACACGGCCCAGACUCCUACGGGAGGCAGCAGUGGGGAAUCUUAGACAAUGGGGGCAACCCUGGUCUAGCCAUGCCGCGUGAGUGAUGAAGGCCUUAGGGUUGUAAAGCUCUUUCAGCUGGGAAGAUAAUGACGGUACCAGCAGAAGAAGCCCCGGCUAACUCCGUG